rnacentral:rRNA from 1 species
AGCCUGAACGCUGGCGGCGUGGCUAAGACAUGCAAGUCGUACGGUGUAGCAAUACACAGUGGCGAACGGGUGAGUAAUGUAUCGCUAACGUGCCCCCGAGUCAGGGAUAGCUGCCCGAAAGGGCAGGUAAUACCUGAUGAGACCACAAAGAGGCAUCUCUUUGUGCUCAAAGCAGCAAUGCGCU